rnacentral:rRNA from 1 species
AUGAACGCUGGCGGCGUGCUUAACACAUGCAAGUCGAACGGGCGCUUUGGGAAACUGGAGCGCUAGUGGCAAACGGGUGCGUAACACGUGGGCGACCUGCCUCAAAGUGGGGAACAACGGACCGAAAGGUUCGCUAAUACCGCAUAUGCUCGGUGAUUCAUUUUGCCGAGUAAAGCCUCCUUCGGGAGGCGCUUUGAGAGGGGCCUGCGUCCCAUCAGGUAGUUGGUGAGGUAAUGGCCCACCAAGCCGAUGACGGGUAGCUGUUCUGAGAGGAAGAUCAGCCACACUGGCACUGAGAUACGGGCCAGACUCCUACGGGAGGCAGCAGUGAGGAAUAUUGCGCAAUGGACGAAAGUCUGACGCAGCGACGCCGCGUGGGCGACGAAGGCCUUCGGGUCGUAAAGCCCUUUUAGCAGGGACGAGUGAGGACGGUACCUGCUGAAUAAGUCUCGGCUAACUACGU